UACGGAGGGGGCUAGCGUUGUUCGGAAUUACUGGGCGUAAAGGGCACGUAGGCGGACUGUUAAGUCAGGGGUGAAAGCCCGGGGCUCAACCCCGGAAUGGCCUUCGAUACUGGCGGUCUUGAGGUCUGGAGAGGUGAGUGGAAUUCCCAGUGUAGAGGUGAAAUUCGUAGAUAUUCGGAGGAACGCCAGUGGCGAAGGCGGCUCACUGGCCUGAUACUGACGCUGAGGCGCGAAAGCGUGGGGAGCAAACAGG
rnacentral:rRNA from 1 species